UACGGAGGGAGCUAGCGUUAUUCGGAAUUACUGGGCGUAAAGCGCACGUAGGCGGCUUUGUAAGUAAGAGGUGAAAGCCCAGAGCUCAACUCUGGAAUUGCCUUUUAGACUGCAUCGCUUGAAUCAUGGAGAGGUCAGUGGAAUUCCGAGUGUAGAGGUGAAAUUCGUAGAUAUUCGGAAGAACACCAGUGGCGAAGGCGGCUGACUGGACAUGUAUUGACGCUGAGGUGCGAAAGCGUGGGGAGCAAAAGGG
rnacentral:rRNA from 1 species